UACGUAGGGGGCAAGCGUUGUCCGGAUUUAUUGGGCGUAAAGAGCGUGUAGGCGGCCUGAAAGGUCAGCUGUGAAAACUCGAGGCUCAACCUCGAGACGUCGGUUGAAACCAUCUGGCUAGAGUCCGGAAGAGGAGUGUGGAAUUCCCGGUGUAGCGGUGAAAUGCGCAGAUAUCGGGAAGAACACCCGUGGCGAAGGCGGCACUCUGGGACGGUACUGACGCUGAGACGAGAAAGCGUGGGGAGCGAACAGG
rnacentral:rRNA from 1 species